AGAGUUCGAUUAUGGCUCAGGAUGAACGCUGGCGGCGUGCUUAACACAUGCAAGUCGAACGGGAUCCCAGGAGCUUGCUCCUGGGUGAGAGUGGCGAACGGGUGAGUAAUGCGUGACCGACCUGCCCCAUGCACCGGAAUAGCUCCUGGAAACGGGUGGUAAUGCCGGAUGCUCCAUCACACUGCAUGGUGUGUUGGGAAAGCCUUUGCGGCAUGGGAUGGGGUCGCGUCCUAUCAGCUUGAUGGCGGGGUAACGGCCCACCAUGGCUUCGACGGGUAGCCGGCCUGAGAGGGCGACCGGCCACAUUGGGACUGAGAUACGGCCCAG
rnacentral:rRNA from 1 species